rnacentral:tRNA from 1 species
GCCGGCGUCGUCUAAUGGAAAUGACGGGAGGUCGACACCCUCCUUGCGUGGGUUCGAAUCCCACCGCCGGCA